GACGAACGCUGGCGGCGUGCUUAACACAUGCAAGUCGAGCGGUAAGGCCCUUUCGGGGGUACACGAGCGGCGAACGGGUGAGUAACACGUGAGCAACCUGCCCUUCACCUCGGGAUAAGCCUCGGAAACGGGGUCUAAUACCGGAUAUCACUCCUUACUUCAUGGUUUGGGGUUGAAAGUUUUGGCGGUGGGGGAGUGGGCUCGCGGCCUAUCAGCUUGUUGGUGGGGUAAGUGGCCUACCAAGGCGUCGACGGGUAGCCGGCCUGAGAGGGCGACCGGCCACACUGGGACUGAGACACGGCCCAGACUCCUACGGGAGGCAGCAGUGGGGAAUAUUGCGCAAUGGACGGAAGUCUGACGCAGCAACGCCGCGUGAGGGAUGACGGCCUCGGGU
rnacentral:rRNA from 1 species